GGCAACCAAAACCCAGCCUGAGAGAGAGGGAGAGAGAGAGACUUUCCCCCAGCCACCCCCACCCCUUUUUCUUUUUUCUCCAAGGCUGCACUUUGGAAGAGGUGCAGUCAUUCUUCCCCACACCCCCUACCCUCUCUCCACUCCCCCAACUAUAAAUUCCCUUCUGUAGCAUGCUGCCCUUUUUUAAUCCACAUUUGUGUUUCAGAUCAUGUAGAAAGGACAGAAAGUGAGCAGGGAGCGGGGGCUUUUGUCUAUUGUUCUCCUUGUGCUACUUGAGAGAAACUGCAAUCCCAAGACUUAACAGAAUCUAAAAAUGGUUUAUCAACCAAGGUUAACGUUUUGGGUAAGCCAGAAAACCUUUCCAACCAGCCGAGGGGAUGGGGGAUUUCCAAAGGGAAGUCUCCCCAUCUCGAAGGAAGUAAAUCGCAAGAAGAAAAGUGAGGCAGAGGGGGCAUGCCUGGUUCCAGUGAAUGGCUAUGGACACCAUUUCACCAAAAUCAAUUACCUCUACUCUUUUUAAUCAUAAUUUCUUCAUUUGUAUUACAUAUGGUGUAUGGGUUUGAUGAGGUCAUGGUGUCAUAUAUUGGGAAUUGUUUCUGUGUAAAUCAUCAAGUGUAAGAAGAAACUAUGGGACUCUGAGCCUUGCUUUAGAGAAUAACAGUGGACAAAUGUGUACCAUAAAAAAUAGUUUUUAACAUUCUGACUCAAGCGAAAGCUCUCAGAAUUUCACACUGUGAAUCCAUGUUUACAAACAUUACAGGUGGGCCCUCAGGCCUAGUUCUACCACAGCAAUGUCUUCCACUACUCAAACUCCACUGCUCACAUGCAACUGGUAAACUGCUCUCUCCAUUUCCACCAUCCCGAACUGCUUCUUGCAGAGGCUGAGAGUCCCCCUUUUUUUUCAUUUAGAUGUAACAAGCCUAGUAGUUUAUUUUCAUCGAUUGUCUGUAUAUCUCUAUAUUUUAUCCAUGUACUCUUUUGAUGUAUAGAAGUAGUAUGAAACUCAUGGUUUCCUUGUGGUAAGUGAUUGUGAUGCUGCCACGGGAUUUGAGACACUGAUGAAUGGUGCUAUUUUGGACUUUAAAUAUGCUCCUUGGCAAGGUAGCUCUGAUGGAGUUAUUUUUUAUUUCCAUGUUCUGAGAAGGUGUUGGUACUUUGUUUUUCUGAAUGUUGUUCUUUAGAUGGGACUGAUUUGUUUACUUGUGUCUUCAGUGUGGCUUUCUUAUUCAGUGCCGUAGGUGAGUAACUACUUAUAGUGUACAAGUGAAGAACUGAUUCCCUAUCAGGGUCCACUCACAAACAUGCAGUUAUAGUGGGAGCAAUCACAAAACUGUAAUUUACGUAAAAUCUCCUUUCUGACUCCUAUCCACCUAACAGAGAAAGAUGAGCAAUAAUUUUCCACCAACCUCUCAAAAUCUUUUUUGAUUUUUGUCUUUUUUUUAAAGCCUUUUUUUGAAGAAGGGACAAGUUUUAAUGUCCUCUUCAAAUC